GACGUAGGGGGCGAGCGUUGUCCGGAUUCAUUGGGCGUAAAGCGCUCGCAGGCGGCUCGAUGCGUCGUGCGUGAAACACCCCGGCUCAACUGGGGAGGGUCGUGCGAUACGGUCGAGCUUGAGGCCAGUAGGGGGAUGCGGAAUUCCGGGUGUAGUGGUGGAAUGCGUAGAGAUCCGGAGGAACACCAGCGGCGAAGGCGGCAUCCUGGACUGGUACUGACGCUCAUGAGCGAAAGCGUGGGGAGCGAGUCGGCG
rnacentral:rRNA from 1 species